rnacentral:lncRNA from 1 species
UGUGGGUGCCUGAAAUAGACUAUGGGUCUGGAAGAAGCUGCUGAGUCAUUGCUCUGUGACUGAAUCUAUAUACAAGAGAUCCAAUGAUACACAGACUCUCCAACCUCAACAUGUUCAAAGAGAGUGGAGGAAAGGGCACAAAACAGAAUCUCUCUGGCUGUUCUUUAUGUUGGCCUCCUGACCAGGACUGAAUGACUCAGGGGUGAGGAGGACUGGAGUUCAAUUCCAAAAGCCCAUGGAGCAUCUACCUGUACUUCCAGUUUCAGGGGACCUGAUGGCAUCUUUUGGACCCUAUAGGAAUCUGAACUCAUAUAUACAACCUCAUCCUCCACACAUGUACACAUAAUUUAAAAAAAAAAAAAGAAGAAUCACUAAAGAGGCAAGAUGUGAAGGUCCAUCCAUUUGCCUACAACCACUCUGGAAAUCAU